rfam:Toxocara canis scaffold1726, whole genome shotgun sequence.
GCGGGGAAAGAAGACCCUGUUGAGCUUGACUCUAGUCCGACUCUGUGAAGAGUCAUGAGAGGUGUAGCAUAAGUGGGAGGCCUUGGCCGACAGUGAAAUACCACUACUUUCAUCGAUUCUUUACUUAUUCGGUAAGACGAGAAUUGAGCCUAUCCGGCUCUUCAUUCUGGUGUUAAGUGCAGCCACUCGGUGGCCGCUCGACUCGCGCCGAAGACAGUGUCAGGCGGGGAGUUUGACUGGGGCGGUACAUCUGUCAAAUCGUAACGCAGGUGUCCUAAGGCUAGCUCAGAGAGGACGGAAACCUCUCGUAGAGCAAAAGGGCAAAAGCUCGCUUGAUCUUGAUUUCCAGUACGAAUACAGACCGCGAAAGCGUGGCCUAUCGAUCCUUUUGAAUUAGAAGGUCUCUAGCAAGAGGUGUCAGAAAAGUUACCACAGGGAUAACUGGCUUGUGGCAGCCAAGCGUCCAUAGCGACGUUGCUUUUUGAUGGACGAUUUGUUUCAC